CGUCUUUAAACCCUGCGUGGCAAUCCCUGACGCACCGCCGUGAUGCCCAGGGAAGACAGGGCGACCUGGAAGUCCAACUACUUCCUUAAGAUCAUCCAACUAUUGGAUGAUUAUCCGAAAUGUUUCAUCGUGGGAGCAGACAAUGUGGGCUCCAAGCAGAUGCAGCAGAUCCGCAUGUCCCUUCGCGGGAAGGCCGUGGUGCUGAUGGGCAAGAACACCAUGAUGCGCAAGGCCAUCCGAGGGCACCUGGAAAACAACCCAGCUCUGGAGAAACUGCUGCCUCAUAUCCGGGGGAAUGUGGGCUUUGUGUUCACCAAGGAGGACCUCACUGAGAUCAGGGACAUGUUGCUGGCCAAUAAGGUGCCAGCUGCUGCCCGUGCUGGUGCCAUUGCCCCAUGUGAAGUCACUGUGCCAGCCCAGAACACUGGUCUCGGGCCCGAGAAGACCUCCUUUUUCCAGGCUUUAGGUAUCACCACUAAAAUCUCCAGGGGCACCAUUGAAAUCCUGGUGAGUGGACCUGGUUUGCCUGUGCUAGACAGGCAAAUGGGGAGCUGCUUUUAGUGGCCAUGGAUCUGCUGGUUGUCCAACAGGUGUUUACUGCCCCACUAUUAUCUUG
rnacentral:sRNA from 1 species